rnacentral:rRNA from 1 species
CCUACGGGAGGCAGCAGUGGGGAAUUUUGGACAAUGGACGCAAGUCUGAUCCAGCCAUGCCGCGUGCGGGAAGAAGGCCUUCGGGUUGUAAACCGCUUUUGUCAGGGAAGAAACGGGUUUCUCUAAUACAGAGACCUAAUGACGGUACCUGAAGAAUAAGCACCGGCUAACUACGUGCCAGCAGCCGCGGUAAUACGUAGGGUGCAAGCGUUAAUCGGAAUUACUGGGCGUAAAGCGUGCGCAGGCGGUUAUGCAAGACAGAGGUGAAAUCCCCGGGCUCAACCUGGGAACUGCCUUUGUGACUGCAUAGCUAGAGUACGGUAGAGGGGGAUGGAAUUCCGCGUGUAGCAGUGAAAUGCGUAGAUAUGCGGAGGAACACCGAUGGCGAAGGCAAUCCCCUGGACCUGUACUGACGCUCAUGCACGAAAGCGUGGGGAGCAAACAGGAUUAGAUACCCUGGUAGUCCACGCCCUAAACGAUGUCAACUGGUUGUUGGGAGGGUUUCUUCUCAGUAACGAAGCUAACGCGUGAAGUUGACCGCCUGGGGAGUACGGCCGCAAGGUUGAAACUUAAGGAAUUGACGGCUGNGAGNGCGAGACGACGACGAGGGAGAGG